CUCCCAAACUAGGAAUGAAGGGAUGAAAUGAAUUAAAAGAGAAUAAAUGGAGGGAGGUAAAGAACUCCCUGUUUAAGGCACUUCAAAAUUUGUUGUGCAUGCAAAUCGCCUGGAGAACAGCAGAAUCCCAGCCCCGGCUGACUCCAUGUAAAUGGCAGCAGGCUGUUUGUUGUCACCAGAUGUGACCCAGCCAGAAAACACCAUUUCCUCUUCAGGGGACUCAGCCUAGAUACCCAAGGAAGUACAACAGUGUACAAGUUAAUGUUUAAAGUGUACUGAGGGGUGAGGAGUGGGAUGUGGCUGCUCAACGGGCACAGUGUCUCCUUUGGGGCUGGGGAAGAGGCUUUGCAAC